rnacentral:rRNA from 1 species
UACAGAGGGUGCAAGCGUUGUUCGGAAUUAUUGGGCGUAAAGCGCGCGUAGGCGGCUCCGCAAGUCGGCCGUGAAAUCUCCGGGCUCAACUCGGAGGGGUCGGGCGAGACUGCGGGGCUCGAGGUGGGCAGAGGGCAGUGGAAUUCCGGGUGUAGUGGUGGAAUGCGUAGAGAUCCGGAGGAACACCAGUGGCGAAGGCGGCUGCCUGGGCCUGGCCUGACGCUGAGGCGCGAAAGCGUGGGGAGCAAUCCGG